GCAACUGUGAUGCCUUUAUAUCAUGUGAGAAGAACAAUAGAGUCUUGGGAGACAAGUGCAGAUGACCCCAAGGUCCUUGUGGACAAGGAGUAAAAGCUAAGAAGAAAUGGCACGUUUCUUAGGCAACAUUUCAAUAUUGUUAUUUUUACAAGGAUGCAGAGAACAGUACAGCUGGAGAAUUAAAUGGAGAGAUCAGUGCACAGAUGGGUGUUGUCAUCACAGUGAAAACAGAAAAUUAAAAGAUGUCUCAUAGAGAACCCAUGGGCUGAAGAUUAUCUUGAGAGACUUGCAGAAUGGCAAAUCGCUAGAGAGCAAACGUCGCACUGCCUUAGAAAUGGAGUUGGUAUUGGUGAAUUCAAGAAGAGGACCAGAAGGAGGAGGAAGAGGGAAGAUUUUAAUGCUGUGCAGUGGUGCUCAGGUCUAGGUCAAGAACAAUGAGUCUCAUAUGAUUGUCUCUUGACUUUGACUAUCACGGUAGGACUUUACUGACGAGCCGG
rnacentral:lncRNA from 1 species